AAUUAUAAAAGAUCAGCAUCAUAACUUCAUUUACUUUCCAAAAUAUAAAAGUGUCCAAAAUAUCCAUAUCAGAAUAUGAACCAUAUAACUACUGAACAAAAUUAGUUAAUUAAAAACGUGCCCAGUUAACUAAAAAACAUACUGUCAAUUAAACACAUGUAAAUUUUCUCCCAUAUUUUUCAUAUUUUCUCCCCCUUUUUGACAUCAACAAAAAGAAACAGGGAAGAAAACAAAGGAACACA
rnacentral:misc_RNA from 1 species